rnacentral:tRNA from 2 species
GGGUCGUUGGCUCACUUGGUCCGGAGCAGCUGGCUCUUACCCAGCGGGUUCGGGGUUCGAGUCCCCGGUGACCCA